ACGGGAUGAUGAGUGCCCAGAAGGUUUCGCUCAUUGGACUGAAUGCCUGUGAUGUCACCUCCUCUUGGCUGUCUGACCAC